CCUACGGGUGGCAGCAGUGGGGAAUAUUGGGCAAUGGGCGCAAGCCUGACCCAGCAACGCCGCGUGAAGGAAGAAGGCCCUCGGGUUGUAAACUUCUUUUGUCAGGGACGAAGAAAGUGACGGUACCUGACGAAUAAGGAUCGGCUAACUCCGUGCCAGCAGCCGCGGUAAUACGGAGGAUCCGAGCGUUAUCCGGAUUCAUUGGGUUUAAAGGGUGCGUAGGUUGUUUUAUAAGUUAGCGGUGAAAUACCGAUGCUCAACAUCGGGGCUGCCGCUGAUACUGUAGGACUAGAGAUCGGAUGCAGCAGGCGGAAUGUGUAGUGUAGCGGUGAAAUGCAUAGAUAUUACACAGAACACCGAUUGCGAAGGCAGCUUGCUAGGCCGGAUCUGACACUGAUGCACGAAAGCGUGGGGAUCGAACAGGAUUAGAUACCCGGGUAGUC
rnacentral:rRNA from 1 species